UUGGUUUUGUUCUUUGAGGAAGAAGCCUGAUAUUAACAUCAAAGGCGCAAUUAACAGUGCAAUGAAGACAAUAACCAGUUCUUUUGAAGGCAUGUCUAAUCAAGGUGCACCUCGGUGGGUUGAACCCAAGAGUAAUGUGCAAAGUGGAGGGUUUGAGUGCGGAUAUUAUGUCAUGCACUGGAUGUGGUGCAUCGUGACUGCCGGUUUGAAGGAUGAUUGG